rnacentral:rRNA from 1 species
AUACGUAGGGUGCAAGCGUUAAUCGGAAUUACUGGGCGUAAAGCGUGCGCAGGCGGUUUUGUAAGACAGCGGUGAAAUCCCCGGGCUCAACCUGGGAACUGCCAUUGUGACUGCAAGGCUGGAGUGCGGCAGAGGGGGAUGGAAUUCCGCGUGUAGCAGUGUAAUGCGUAGAUAUGCGGAGGAACACCGAUGGCGAAGGCAAUCCCCUGGGCCUGCACUGACGCUCAUGCACGAAAGCGUGGGGAGCAAACAGGAUUAGAUACCCUGGCAGUCUACGCCCUAAACGAUGUCAACUGGUUGUUGGGGAUUUAUUUUCUCAGUAACGAAGCUAACGCGUGAAGUUGACCGCCUGGGGAGUACGGCCGCAAGGUUAAAACUUAAAGGAAUUGACGGGG